rnacentral:rRNA from 1 species
GAUGAACGCUGGCGGCGUGCCUAAUACAUGCAAGUCGAACGAAGCUUCUUUAUCACCGAGUGCUUGCACUCACCGAUAAAGAGUUGAGUGGCGAACGGGUGAGUAACACGUGGGCAACCUGCCCGAAAGAGGGGGAUAACACUUGGAAACAGGUGCUAAUACCGCAUAACCAUGAACACCGCAUGGUGUUUAUGUGAAAGGUGGUUUCGGCUACCGCUUUCGGAUGGGCCCGCGGUGCAUUAGCUAGUUGGUGGGGUAAAGGCUUACCAAGGCAAUGAUGCGUAGCCGAACUGAGAGGUUGAUCGGCCACAUUGGGACUGAGACACGGCCCAAACUCCUACGGGAGGCAGCAGUAGGGAAUCUUCCACAAUGGGCGAAAUCCUGAUGGAGCAACGCCGCGUGGGUGAAGAAGGUCUUCGGAUCGUAAAACCCUGUUGUCAGAGAAGAAAGUGCAUGAGAGUAACUGUUCAUGUUUCGACGGUAUCUGACCAGAAAGCCACGGCUAACUACGUGCCAGCAGCCGCAGUAA